UACGAAGGGGGCUAGCGUUGUUCGGAAUCACUGGGCGUAAAGGGCGCGUAGGCGGCUUUAUAAGUCGGGUGUGAAAGCCUGUGGCUCAACCACAGAAUUGCCUCCGAUACUGUAGAGCUUGAGACCGGAAGAGGUAAGUGGAACUGCGAGUGUAGAGGUGAAAUUCGUAGAUAUUCGCAAGAACACCAGUGGCGAAGGCGGCUUACUGGUCCGGUUCUGACGCUGAGGCACGAAAGCGUGGGGAGCAAACAGG
rnacentral:rRNA from 1 species